CCUUAAACGCCAUAGUUUUGGAUACAGGUCCAUGGGGUGAGAUCGCUGACUGACAGAAGGAAGCUGUUCUCUGGGGUGUGCGUGACCCAAAGACCAAUGGAGGGAGGAAGAAUAGAUGCUCCAAAUGGCCACUGCACUUCUCCAAUGUCUGAAGCCACCUGCAAAUGAUUGCUAGUCACUGCCUGCACUGAGACGGAUUCUGAGGCCAAGUCGAGGCUUAGCAGGAAAGAAUACUGUGACCUACACGCCUUCUCAGCCAAACGCACAGAACAGGAAUGGCCACAUAUGUGCUCGUGUCAGCCAGUGUUCCUGGGGGCUUGUCCACGGGCAGAUUCCUUCAUAAUCCCUUGGGAUGCUUGCAAUAAUUCCAUCUCCGAGCCCUCACCCUCACCCUCUCAAGGUUUACUGAAUUAAAAUCUUUGGGCGUGGACCCUGGAAAUCUGCAGUUGUCUCGACUUUUUGUGGAAUUUUGAUGUAGAGUCAGCUUUGGAAACCACCUAGGAGCCUGUAGGCUCCUGCACGGGCACUGCAGCAAGGUAGCAGCAAAGGUGGGCUGUCUUUACCACCAAGACCGGGUAAAUUAGGGAUAAUAAUAACACCUGCCUCAUAAGGAUGGUGGAAAAAUUAAAGGAGAUUUUACAUAAUAAGCACUCAACAAAUAUUAGCUUUUAUUAUGUUAUCUUCUUCUAAGAGUCUGUAAGAGG
rnacentral:lncRNA from 1 species